CUGAGGGGAGCGCGGCGGCGAGACGGCCCGGGAAGCGGCUCAUGGGGCCCGGCCCGGCCCGGGGUUACCGCGGCCGGCGGGGAGCGCGGCAGAGCCGUUGCUGCGGUAGCGCUGCCGCCGCGAAGGUGUUUUCGCGGCCGGUCAGCCGCGCUGCCAAGGAGCAAACUGCGAAUGUUAGGAAAAUAAAUGGCUCUUACAGUAAUAAUCAGUGUUAGCUGAGCGAGCCGGUGAGGCAGAGGCGACAGACCCGUGACCGCUUCGAGUCCGGAGAGGGAGCCCCGUCCUUCACAAAGCUCACUCAAGUCGCGAGGGCUGAGCAGAGGGGUGAGGGCAGAGCAGAGCCCCGCGGGUCUGGCUAGGCAGAGGCGCCGGGCUGUGUUCCCUGCUCCCACCUGCAGGAAAUGUGUAUGCUAAUUAACGGCCCAGAUUAUAUAGCAGACAACRAUCCCGUGCAUGCUUCUACCCUAAGUUUUUAAGAAUUCGUACACAGAGGAAAAAUAAACAUCCAGAUGCAGAGCUGUUAAUGCUAAGAAUCGAAGGAGAGGUGGCAGAAGUAUGGGUGGAGACGUGUCCUCUKCACACUGUGGAUAACAAGAAGGAGAAAAAGCCUGUGUGUGAGUGGGACAAGGUUAGCUCUCCAGCCACCCUCUGCAGAACUGAAACCAGGCUGCAGAGAAGGUGCCUCAAGUUGACCUUUUCCUGUAGCCUGGGUUGGAGGCAGCCAGCUGUUCUUGAAAGCCUUCUCAGUGGCUGAAGCCUGGAAGCAGCAACAUAUGAAACAGUGUUCUUGUCUCAGCUGAACUAAAGUACAUCCUCUGUCACGAAGACAGGUGGGUAAAAGACUUGUUCUUCCCUUGGGGACAGACUAAGAUAAUAUGCAAGGAUUCUUUCAUUUUUUUUGGCUGGCUUCUCACUGAGUUGUUUGCAUCCUGCUGAAGUGUCCUGUAACUGAGAUGUGAAUAAUUCAGCUCCACCUUUAAGGGACCUUCUUUGACCAUCCAAAGGGCUCUGCAGAAAUAGUCUGUCACAUGCACUGAUGUAYGGAGGAAGCGUUGAGCAGGAGUUGYRGCUAGCCAUGUGCCUUAGAGAACAGCAGCAGCACCACCGCAAGGGUGUCCGGCACGUCUCCCAGAGCCCGUGGCAGGAAAGCGUAAGCCCUAAGAAACUUUGAGCAAAUUUUCAGGGAAGUUGGGUGUUUCCCCAGUAGUGAGGACUGAGAAGUAUGGGGAUGUUCCUGUUCUCUGACUGGUAAGUGCAAAACCACAGCUGUUCUACUUAUAA
rnacentral:lncRNA from 1 species